rnacentral:rRNA from 1 species
UGGGGAAUAUUGCACAAUGGGCGCAAGCCUGAUGCAGCCAUGCCGCGUGUGUGAAGAAGGCCUUCGGGUUGUAAAGCACUUUCAGCGAGGAGGAAGGUGUGAGCUUAAUACGCUCAUCAAUUGACGUUACUCGCAGAAGAAGCACCGGCUAACUCCGUGCCAGCAGCCGCGGUAAUACGGAGGGUGCAAGCGUUAAUCGGAAUUACUGGGCGUAAAGCGCAGCAGGCGGUUUGUUAAGUCAGAUGUGAAAUCCCCGGGCUCAACCUGGGAACUGCAUUUGAAACUGGCAAGCUAGAUCUCGUAGAGGGGGUAGAAUUCCAGGUGUAGCGGUGAAAUGCGUAGAGAUCUGGAGGAAUACCGGUGGCGAAGGNGCCCCCUGGACGAAGACUGACGCUCAGGUGCG